rnacentral:misc_RNA from 1 species
GAUGAAGAACGUAGUGAAAUGCGAUACGUAAUGUGAAUUGCAGAAUUCAGUGAAUCAUCGAAUCUUUGAACGCAUAUUGCGCUCUCUGGUAUUCCGGAGAGCAUGCUUGUUUGAGUAUCAGUAAACACCUCAACUUCCAUAUCUUUUUUGAAAUGGGAGUUGGACUUGAGUGAUCCCAACGCUUUUCCUCACCGAAAAGUGGCGGGUUACUUGAAAUGCAGGUGCAGCUGGACUUUUCUCUGAGCUAUAAGCAUAUCUAUUUAGUCUGCCUAAAAAACAGAUUAUUACCUUUGCUGCAGCUAACAUAAAGGAGAUUAGUUCUUGUGCUGACUGAUGCAGGAUUCACAAAGACGGCUUCGGCCGACUUUGUAAACUCGAUCUCAAAUCAAGUAAGACUACCCGCUGAACUUAAGCAUAUCAAUAGGCGGAGGA